rnacentral:rRNA from 1 species
UACGUAGGUGGCAAGCGUUAUCCGGAAUUAUUGGGCGUAAAGCGCGCGCAGGUGGUUUCUUAAGUCUGAUGUGAAAGCCCACGGCUCAACCGUGGAGGGUCAUUGGAAACUGGGAGACUUGAGUACAGAAGAGGAAAGCGGAAUUCCACGUGUAACGGUGAAAUGCGUAGAGAUGUGGAGGAACACCAGUGGCGAAGGCGGCUUUCUGGUCUGUAACUGACGCUGAGGCGCGAAAGCGUGGGGAGCAAACAGG